GAUGAACGCUGGCGGCGUGCCUAAUACAUGCAAGUCGAGCGAACGGACGAGAAGCUUGCUUUUCUGAUGUUAGCGGCGGACGGGUGAGUAACACGUGGAUAACCUACCUAUAAGACUGGGAUAACUUCGGGAAACCGGAUCUCAUACCGGAUAAUAUUUUGAACCGCAUGGUUCAAAAGUGAAAGACGGUCUUGCUGUCACUUAUAGAUGGAUCCGCGCUGCAUUAGCUAGUUGGUAAGGUAACGGCUUACCAAGGCAACGAUGCGUAGCCGACCUGAGAGGGUGAUCGGCCACACUGGAACUGAGACACGGUCCAGACUCCUACGGGAGGCAGCAGUAGGGAAUCUUCCGCAAUGGGCGAAAGCCUGACGGAGCAACGCCGCGUGAGUGAUGAAGGUCUUCGGAUCGUAAAACUCUGUUAUUAGGGAAGAACAUAUGUGUAAGUAACUGUGCACAUCUUGACGGUACCUAAUCAGAAAGCCACGGCUAACUACGCG
rnacentral:rRNA from 1 species